rnacentral:rRNA from 1 species
AAACGACUCUCGGCAACGGAUAUCUCGGCUUUCGCAUCGAUGAAGAACGUAGCGAAAUGCGAUACUUGGUGUGAAUUGCAGAAUCCCGUGAACCAUCGAGUCUUUGAACGCAAGUUGCGCCCGGAAGCUUUCGGGCGGAGGGAACGCCUGCCUGGGCGUCACGCA